rnacentral:rRNA from 1 species
UACGUAGGGGGCAAGCGUUGUCCGGAGUUACUGGGCGUAAAGCGCACGCAGGCGGUCGAUUAAGUUUGGAGUGACAGUUGGUGGCUUAACUGCCAAAGUGCUUUGAAAACUGAUCGACUUGAGGGCUUCAGAGGGACACGGAAUUCCGGGUGGAGUGGUGAAAUGCGUAGAGAUCCGGAGGAACACCGAAGGCGAAGGCAGUGUCCUGGGGAGUACCUGACGCUCAGGUGCAAAAGCCAGGGGAGCGAACGGG